rnacentral:rRNA from 1 species
ACGAACGCUGGCGGCGUGCUUAACACAUGCAAGUCGAACGGAAAGGCCCUUCGGGGUACUCGAGUGGCGAACGGGUGAGUAACACGUGGGUGAUCUGCCCUGCACUUUGGGAUAAGCCUGGGAAACUGGGUCUAAUACCGAAUAGGACCACGCGCUUCAUGGUGUGUGGUGGAAAGCUUUUGCGGUGUGGGAUGGGCCCGCGGCCUAUCAGCUUGUUGGUGGGGUAAUGGCCUACCAAGGCGACGACGGGUAGCCGGCCUGAGAGGGUGACCGGCCACACUGGGACUGAGAUACGGCCCAGACUCCUACGGGAGGCAGCAGUGGGGAAUAUUGCACAAUGGGCGGAAGCCUGAUGCAGCGACGCCGCGUGAGGGAUGACGGCCUUCGGGUUGUAAACCUCUUUCACCAGGGACGAAGCGUAAGUGACGGUACCUGGAGAAGAAGCACCGGCCAACUACGUG